rnacentral:rRNA from 1 species
AACGAACGCUGGCGGCAGGCUUAACACAUGCAAGUCGAGCGCCCCGCAAGGGGAGCGGCAGACGGGUGAGUAACACGUGGGAACAUACCCAUCUCUGCGGAACAACUCCGGGAAACUGGAGCUAAUACCGCAUACGCCCUUCGGGGGAAAGAUUUAUCGGAGAUGGAUUGGCCCGCGUUGGAUUAGCUAGUUGGUGGGGUAAAGGCCUACCAAGGCGACGAUCCAUAGCUGGUCUGAGAGGAUGAUCAGCCACAUUGGGACUGAGACACGGCCCAAACUCCUACGGGAGGCAGCAGUGGGGAAUAUUGGACAAUGGGCGCAAGCUUGAUCCAGCCAUGCCGCGUGAGUGAUGAAGGCCUUAGGGUUGUAAAGCUCUUUCACCGAUGAAGAUAAUGACGGUAGUCGGAGAAGAAGCCCCGGCUAACUUCGUGCCAGCAGCCGCGGUAA